rnacentral:rRNA from 1 species
GUGUCAGCAGCCGCGGUAAUACGAAGGGGGCUAGCGUUGUUCGGAAUCACUGGGCGUAAAGCGCACGUAGGCGGACCAUUAAGUCAGGGGUGAAAGCCUGGAGCUCAACUCCAGAACUGCCUUUGAUACUGAUGGUCUCGAGUUCGGAAGAGGUUGGUGGAACUGCGAGUGUAGAGGUGAAAUUCGUAGAUAUUCGCAAGAACACCAGUGGCGAAGGCGGCCAACUGGUCCGAUACUGACGCUGAGGUGCGAAAGCGUGGGGAGCAAACAGGAUUAGAAACCCCAGUAGUCC